AUGGCGGAAACCCAACACACCCAGCUCGUGUGCUACACUUUGCUCUGCAUCCUUAUCAUGGCCAUACUCGUCAAGCUCAAGCACAUGCGAGCCUCUGCUAGCCGCCUGAACCUGCCUCCCGGCCCAUGGGUGCUGCCGGUGAUCGGCCACAUGCACCUGCUGCUCGGCGCCAUUCCGUACCAGGCCAUGCACAGGCUCGCUCGUCAGCACGGCCCCGUCAUGCUUCUCCGCCUUGGCCACGUCCCGACGCUCGUGCUCUCCUCCGCGGAGGCGGCCAGGGAGGUCAUGAAGGUGCACGACGCCGCCUUCGCCAACCGCCCCGUGUAUGCCACGGCAGACAUCUUCACCUACGGCGGCGAGGACAUCUCCUUCGCGCGCCACGACAGCUGGCACUGGAAGGCCCUCCGGAAGCUCUGCGCCGUGGAGCUGCUGAGCCUGAGGCGCGUCCGGUAGUUCCGCCAUGUCCGGGAGGAGGAGGCGGCGAGGCUUGUGCUGUCCGUCGCCGGCGCCGGUCGCAUCGUCAACGUCGGUGACAUGCUAAAGGUAAUGAUGAACGACGUGGUCAUGAGGGCGUCCGUGGGCGACAGGUGCGUGCAGCGGGACGCGUACCUGGAGGAGCUGGACAGGGUGUUGGACCUCAUGUCCGGGUUUAACCUCAUCGACCUGUUCCCGGCGUCGCGCCUCGUCCGGGCGAUCGGUGGCCGGGCUCUCGGGGCGACGUGGGAGGUACACCGGAGGAUCCACUCCAUCAUGGACGCCAUGAUCAGCGAUCACAGAACGGCUAUGGAGGGCGAGGACGACAAUGAUGCCGGAUGUGAGCAGAGGGGUGACAUACUCACUACUCUGCUCCGGUUCCAGAUGGACGGCGGGAUUGGCGGCGUCGCCCUCACCAAUGAAAACAUCAGCGGCGUCCUCUUUGAUCUUUUCGCUGCAGGGUCGGAGACGACAGCCACGACAACAAUCUGGGCAAUGUCUGAGCUGAUGAGGAGCCCACACAUAAUGGCCGCCGCUCAGUCCGAAGUCCGGCGAGUCCUCCAUGGCAAGACCGAGGUGACUGAGGCCGACAUCGACGGCCGGCUCCACUACCUACAAAUGGUCAUCAAGGAGACCUUUAGGUUGCAUCCACCGGUGCCGCUACUCAUGCCGAGGCUUUGCACUGAGCAAACAAAGGUCAUGGGCUAUGAUAUUCCACAGGGCACCACUGUAUUCGUGAAUGUGUCGACAAUCGGUAGGGACGAGAAGAGCUGGACUAACGCGAGCGAGUUCAUGCCCAAGAGGUUUGACGGUGAAAAGGUUGAUUAUGGUGGUACGGACUUUAGGUUCCUCCCAGAUGGCGCUGGACGGAGAAUGUGCCCCGGUAUGAUGUUUGGAGUGUCAAACAUCGAAAUGGCUCUUGCAAGCCUUCUCUAUCACUUCGACUGGAAGCUUCCUGAAGGUGGGAACCCGGAGACGCUUGAUAUGAGUGAAGCGUAUGGGAUCACGGCUCGUCGUAGGACCGAGCUUGUGUUGGAAGCUACUGUUUUUGUUCCUUAA
rnacentral:rRNA from 1 species